UGAGGAAUCUUGUGCAAUGGGCGAAAGCCUGACACAGCAACGCCGCGUGAGGGAUGACGGCCUUCGGGUUGUAAACCUCUUUUCUCAGGGAAGAAUAAUGACGGUACCUGAGGAAUAAGCUUCGGCUAACUCCGUGCCAGCAGCCGCGGUAAUACGGGGGGUGCAAGCGUUGUUCGGAAUUAUUGGGCGUAAAGAGCGUGUAGGCGGCGGGAUAAGUCAGAUGUGAAAGCCCUGGGCUCAACCCAGGAAGUGCAUUUGAUACUGUUUCGCUUGAGUACUGGAGAGGGAAUAGGAAUUCCUGGUGUAGAGGUGAAAUUCGUAGAUAUCAGGAGGAACACCGGUGGCGAAGGCGACUUCCUGGCCAGAUACUGACGCUGAGACGCGAGAGCGUGGGGAGCAAACA
rnacentral:rRNA from 1 species